rnacentral:rRNA from 1 species
AGAGUUUGAUCCUGGCUCAGGAUGAACGCUAGCGGCAGGCCUAAUACAUGCAAGUCGGACGGGAUUGGAGAGCUUGCUUUCCAUGAGAGUGGCGCACGGGUGCGUAACACGUAUGUAACCUACCCUUAUCAGGGGGAUAGCCUCUCGAAAGAGAGAUUAAGCCCGCAUAACAUGGAGACACAGCAUUGUGCUUCCAUCAA